GUUGACAUUUAAACUGUGUGGCAGAUUCUUAUGUAGAAAUUGGCGAUCAAACCUGCCAGUUACCGACUCUCAGAGGCGCAAUUGGGAACCCGCGGAUCAUGAGCCUCUGCCUGCCCUCUGUCUAACAGGAACUCAAGAUCACACAACCAGCAGCUUCAGUGGAGAAAAACUCUUUUACUGGCAACCCUUUUUAAGGCACCAUCAUUUCAAAUCAGGGGCGCUUUUUAAAACUAUUGACAGGAGCUUUGACAACAAGACAGGAUGCCUCAGAAAGCGGGAAGACUUUAACAAGCGCUACGCAGAUGUGCGAGUCGUUAAAUCGCCAGAGAGGAGAGUCCGCUCAUAAAUCA